rnacentral:rRNA from 1 species
AGGGCGUAUGGCGGAUGCCUAGGCUCUCAGAGGCGAUGAAGGACGUGACAAGCUGCGAUAAGCUACGGGGAGACGCAAAUAGUUAUUCAUCCGUAGAUUUCCCAAUGGGGCAACCCGACAGUGUGAAGCACUGUUAUCCUGUUUUGCAGGAGGCUAACCCGGUGAACUGAAACAUCUAAGUAACCGGAGGAAGAGAAAACAAUAGUGAUUCCCUGAGUAGAGGCGAUCGAAAAGGGACCAGCCCAAACCAUAUCUGUUUAGGCAUAUAUGGGGUUGUAGGACUGCUAAAAGUAUUAUAUAAAAGAAGUGGAACAUUUUGGAAAGUUUGACCAUAGGGGGUGAUAGUCCCGUACACGUAAUUUUAUAUAGUCAGGGCAGUAUCCUGAGUACCGCGGGACACGAGAAAUCCUGUGGGAAUCUGCCAGGACCAUCUGGUAAGGCUAAAUACUACUGAGAGACCGAUAGUGAACUAGUACCGUGAGGGAAAGGUGAAAAGCACCCUAAACAAGGGAGUGAAAUAGUACCUGAAACCGUACGCCUACAAGCGGUCGGAGCAUCUAUAUGAUGUGACGGCGUGCCUUUUGCAUAAUGAGCCUACGAGUUACUCCUCACUAGCAAGGUUAAGGUGUUAAGCACCGUAGCCGAAGCGAAAGCGAGUCUGAAUAGGGCGAUAAAGUUAGUGGGGGUAGACGCGAAACUUGGUGAUCUACCCAUGACCAGGUUGAAGUGCCGGUAAAACGGCAUGGAGGACCGAACCAGUUGACGUUGAAAAGUCUUUGGAUGAGUUGUGGGUAGGGGUGAAAGGCCAAUCAAACUGAGAAAUAGCUCGUACUCCCCGAAAUGCAUUUAGGUGCAGCCUCGAGUAUGAGUCUGAUAGAGGUAGAGCUACUGAUAAGGCUAGAGGGCUUCACCGCCUAUCAACCCUUGAUAAACUCCGAAUGCUAUCAGAUCCUCCUCGGGAGUGAGGCUAUGGGUGCUAAGGUCCAUAGCCGAGAGGGAAAGAACCCAGACCAUCAGCUAAGGUCCCUAAAUAUAUGCUAAGUUGUACAAACGUGGUCCGAUUGCAGUGACAGCUAGGAUGUUGGCUUGGAAGCAGCCAUUCAUUUAAAGAGUGCGUAACAGCUCACUAGUCGAGCGAUUGGGCGUGGAUGAUAAUCGGGCAUCAAGCAUAUUACCGAAGCUAUGGAAUUAUACUUUAAGUAUAUUUGGUAGGGGAGCAUUCCAGUGUCGUAGAAGCUGUACCGGAAGGUAUGGUGGAGAAACUGGAAAAGAAAAUGUAGGCAUAAGUAACGAUAAUGCGGGCGAGAAACCCGCACGCCAAUAGACUAAGGUUUCCUGAUCAACGCUAAUCGGAUCAGGGUUAGUCGGGACCUAAGGCGAACCCGAAGGGGGUAGUCGAUGGACAACAGGUUAAUAUUCCUGUACUGGCAAUAACUGCGAUGGGGUGACGAAAAAGUGAAAGGUCUGCGUACUGACGGAAUAGUACGUUGAAGGGUGUAGAUGUUGAUUGUGGUAGGCAAAUCCGCCACAAGAGUCGAACCUGAUAGUACCGUGCGUCUUCGGACAAGCGGAUAAUGACCGUAAUCUGGUUUCCGAGAAAAACCUCUAAGCUUCAGGUUAUUGCUACCCGUACCAUAAACCGACACAGGUAGUCAAGUAGAGAAUACUAAGGCGCUCGAGUGAUUCAUGGCUAAGGAACUAGGCAAAAUGGUCCUGUAACUUCGGGAGAAAGGACGCCAUCUUCGGAUGGCCGCAGUGAAUUGGCCCAAGCGACUGUUUACCAAAAACACAAGGCUUUGCAAAUUCGAAAGAAGACGUAUAAGGCCUGACACCUGCCCGGUGCUGGAAGGUUAAGAGGGGAUGUUAUCUUCGGAGAAGCAUUGAAUCGAAGCCCCAGUAAACGGCGGCCGUAACUAUAACGGUCCUAAGGUAGCGAAAUUCCUUGUCGGGUAAGUUCCGACCUGCACGAAUGGUGUAACGAUUUGGGCACUGUCUCAGCCAUGAGCUCGGUGAAAUUGUAGUUCCGGUGAAGAUGCCGGAUACCCGCAACGGGACGGAAAGACCCCGUGCACCUUUACUAUAGCUUAACAUUGAUUUUGGCUACAUAAUGUGUAGGAUAGGUGGGAGACUUUGAAGUGGCGUCGCCAGGCGUUGUGGAGUCAACCUUGAAAUACCACCCUUUAUGUAUCCGGAGUCUAAUCCAGUAAUGGAGACAGUGUUUGGUGGGUAGUUUGACUGGGGUGGUCGCCUCCAAAAGCGUAACGGAGGCUUCUAAAGGUACCCUCAGCAUGGUCGGUAAUCAUGCGAAGAGUGUAAUGGCACAAGGGUGCUUGACUGUGAGACUGACAAGUCGAGCAGGUAGGAAACUAGAGCAUAGUGAUCCGGUGGUUCCGUAUGGAAGGGCCAUCGCUCAAAGGAUAAAAGGUACGCCGGGGAUAACAGGCUGAUCGCCCCCAAGAGCUCAUAUCGACGGGGCGGUUUGGCACCUCGAUGUCGGCUCGUCACAUCCUGGGGCUGGAGAAGGUCCCAAGGGUUGGGCUGUUCGCCCAUUAAAGUGGCACGCGAGCUGGGUUCAGAACGUCGUGAGACAGUU